UGGGGAAUUUUACGCAAUGGGCGAAAGCCUGACGUAGCGACACCGCGUGAGCGAAGAAGCCCUUUGGGGUGUAAAGCUCUGUCGGCUGGAACGAAAAAAUGACGGUACCAGCAAAGGAAGCAUCGGCUAACUACGUGCCAGCAGCCGCGGUAAGACGUAGGAUGCGAGCGUUGUCCGGAUUUAUUGGGCGUAAAGAGUUCGUAGGUGGCUUGUCAAGUUUGAUGUUAAAGAUCGGGGCUCAACCCUGGGA
rnacentral:rRNA from 1 species